AGGUCUGGUGUUAAAGUGCUUCGCAAAAUGCCAAACACGAAGGAAGCACUCAAUCGUAGUUAUUGAAUCUUGUUAUGUCAUGAGGCCCCUUGGGAAAGUCACGUAGAAAAGGACAUGAAGGGAGGAGUUACUUUUGCUGAAGGUCAGAACCAAGGGAGAACUUCAAGUGCUCUAGUGUCCUGCACCAGAAGCCCCUGGGAGAUUAUCAAAAUGCAGAUCCCUGUGCUAUAUAUCAGGCCCAUGAAUAGAAAGUUCUAGACUAGGACCUGGGACUCCAUAAGCUCUUACACAGAAGUCUACCAGUUUCCUCAGAUCUUGGAUAUUGAGCAAAUGGAGAAACAAAGAUGAAUAAGACACAAUCUCUGCCCUUAAGGAACCUGGUUUGAUGAAAACAAAGGGUAAAGUUGCAGGUUACCCCUGAUGGAGGCACUGGCUCAAUUGCACUUGCAGGCUACACUGAACUUACGCACAGGUUCAUUUGCCUCCUGGGAAGGUCCUGGGGCAGAAAGAAGAAAGACUCUUGCAAUAACCUAUGAGACACCAUCAGCAGGAAUCUGAGCCAGUGUGAAACUGUGCAUGGGAGCAGUCACUGAAACCAGAGAGAACAAAGGGGUGUCAGGCACCAAAGAGAGGUGAACACGAGAAGAGCAGAGAAGAGAAGAUGAUGCCCCAGAGAAAGAAAGUGGGACAGAGCUGGGGAGACAGUGAACUGGAAAUCAUCAGCAUGGAGACAGGGGUAUAUGAAAAGAGGCAGCAGACCAUAGUUUGCCAACCCCCAACUUAGAGUAAGCCCAGUUUUCAUUGAUAAUGUUAAAAUUUCAAUGGUUUUCAUUUCAAUGCCAGGCAUGGAGAAAGACUCAGAAAAAUGUGGAUAUCUAAAUAACCGAGGAACUUUAAACAAGCGAUGAGUUCAGCCCCAUCAUCUCCAUCUACCAAUGAAGAAACAGAGACAGACAGGAAACGUGACUCCAAGCCUCCACAGCAUGGAGACCAAGAUCAGUUCUGGAGCAAGCAAACACUCACCACUCCAGAGGCACCA